UGACUAUAUGGUUUUUUUUUUUUUUUUUUUUUUUUUUUUUUUCUCUUUAUUUGUGCAAAAAUGUGCUCAUGGUGAUUUAUUCCAAUAAUAUGAUUUUGUAUAACUGCCACAAUAUGAAUGAAAAAGUUUUACAGUGUAAAUUGUUAUUAAUUUAUUAAAGAUGGGUGUUUAAAUCUGAAACUAAUAUUUCUGUUUAAAACUGAUGAUUUGAAAAUAAAAAAAAAAAUGUAUUGCUGUUUAAAUUUAUAAACUAUAAAAAGUUACUGUCAUACAGAGACACUUUGUAUAAUCGGCCUUAAAAAAAUGACACCACUUGUUACUUACACGAUAGUGUUUAUGGUUAAUAUUUUCUUUCAUUCGAUAGUCGAGGGGAUGGAACCAUGGAAAAAAAGCGAAAAAAAUGGAGAACAAGGAUCAGAAAUACAAUUACCGUGUAUUUUAAAAAGUCCAAAAUGUGGUGGACUUCACAGUAUUAAGUGGUACAGAGGUAGCCAGAGAAUACUCAUAUUCAGUGAAAGUGCUGGGAUAACACGUGGAAAUAAUGAUAUUGCAGCAAGAUCAACAAUGAAUUACAAUCAAAAUGCUACGAAAACAUAUCUAAAAAUAUCAGAUUUAAAACUAGAAGAUGAAGGUUUAUACAAAUGUGAAGCUACGUAUUUAGCUGUGAAUAGGGAGUGUAAUAAUGUACAACAUAUAACUCUCAAUACCACUGUACGUCCUAAAUUUUUACGGAUUACAGAAGAAGAUGAUAAUACAAAUUUAACUUCAGGGACUAUUUUAGGGCCAAUUAAUGAAGGUACAUUAAUGACUUUAAAUUGUGAAAGUGAUCAAGGAAAACCCGUACCAACUGUGGAAUGGUAUAAAGGCGAUAAGAGACUUAAAGCCAUUGGUUCAACAAAGGUCAGAGAAAAUGGGGUUGGAAUAGGAAGUAGUGUGCUACAGUUGCAAGUUGGCCGCAGCGAAUUAGGUGCUACCUUUACUUGCAAAAUCAGCAGUUUGGCACUUGCUGAGCCUCUAACUGUCGACAUCAAACUUGACGUUCACGUAAGACCACUUAAAAUGGACGUAAAAGGUGUGGUAGGACACGUAGUGAGUGGUACUAAAAUUUUACUAGAAUGUAAAGUCAGUGCCGCAAGACCACCAGCAAAUGUUACCUGGUACAACGGAACUGAUUUUCUGACCAAUGAUAAUGACAGAUUCGAAAUGUUUGAAACUAAAAUAGAUGACAAUAGUGAUGGUACAUCUGAAACAAGCAGUUAUCUUGCAUUCACAGCAUCAGAAUACGAUAAUGGUCAGACAUUUAGUUGUUUUGCUGAAAAUUCAGUCACAAGAAUUGAAGGAAUCAAACCAAUGAAAGAAGCUACAACAAUUGAAGUUUUGUAUGCUCCAAUUAUUACUAUGCGGCCAGCCAACAUUACCGUCAAUGAGACUGAAGACUUUGUCAUAAUUUGCAACUACGAAGCCAACCCUGCGGGCUUAACAUCCGUCAAGUGGUUACAAAAUGAUCAAGAGCUGGAAUUAAAUGAAGAUCACUAUGAGGGUGGUGUAACAGAACAGACAUCUCUUACGGUUAAAAAUGCAAGUGCUUCAGACAUGGGCACAUACAAAUGUGUACUUAGUAAUAGCGUUGGAGAGACAACACCUGAAAAUACUGUUGAUGUUUCUGUUCUUUAUAAACCUAUUGUUAAAGUAUUAGUAGAACCAGAAGUACCGAUAAAUGAAGCAGAUCGUUUAAAUGUAUCUCUUACAUGUUAUGCAGUAAAGGGUAAUCCAAUAAAUUUGAAUGCGGUAAGAUGGUAUUUAGACGGAGAUUUAUUAAAAGAAUUACCCGACUGUAAUAUAAAAAAUAAUUCAACAAUAACAUUAAAUAUGGACGAUACUUUAACAUUUUGCGACAUUGAUCCAAGCAAAUUACUAUUGGAGGCAGUUGGCCGUUCAUUUCAUGGAAAUUAUUCUUGUGAGGGUCGAAACGACGCUGGAUGGGGUUUAAUUUCACCAAGUACUCCAGUAAUUGUAUACUAUAAACCUGGUCCAGCUAUGAUAAGCUAUAAACCAAAACGAGUUAUAAAAGGUAGUUCAUUGAAUAUAACUUGUACUGUAACUGAUCCUGGUCGACCAGCGGUGACUGGUUACAAGUGGAUACGUGGGAUGCAUCGUCUUGCUGAUCAAGAAAAAUCAAUUCUUAGCAUUGAUUCAGUUAAUCUCAGGACCAAAGCCAAUUUUACGUGCAUCGCAUAUAAUGAAGCUGGAGACGGUGAUCCAGCUACAACUUUUAUAGACGUUGCCGCACCACCUGCAUUUAUAAAUCCACUUGCACCGUAUCAUGGUUACGUAUACAAUGCAGUGAAUGUUAGUAUCGGAUGUCGAGUUGAGUGCUCACCCAUCUGCAACGUGUCGUGGAUCAAAAACAACGAGCCAAUUAAUUUUACCGUAAUAGAUAGGUAUUAUGUGACCAAUGUAUACCAUCCAGCUGACCAAAGUACUAGCGAUUUUGAGAGUAUUCAGUCUAAUCUCACCUGGAAUUUGGAUAAAUGGCCAAAUAAACAACUUGAUCGAUUUAAAGACAAUGAUAAUUACACAUGUAUUAGUAGUGAUAAUGAUGUUGGUAAAGGAGUACAUAGUACAACUCAUUUUCAAGUUGAAUUCCCGCCAGAAAAUAUGACAAUAUCAAAAAAAAUAAUAGACGUUAUUGUUGACUUUAUACCAGAUAGUGUUAAAUGUGGGGCUGUUGCUCACCCUGAACCAACUUUUCGAUGGUACCGUCAAGGAUCUACUGAAACAAUAUCCCAAAGUCCAGUUCUUGUUUUUGAAACAAAAGUACCUAAACGUAGUAAUGGAACAUAUUUUUGUGAAGCUACUAAUCGACAUGGUACUCUUAAUAUUUCAACAUAUCUCAAUGUCCUUUAUAAGCCAGAGUGCCAAAUAAAUAAAGAGCGUAUUAAUGGUGAAGAUUAUCUGGUGUGUACAGCAGUGGGUAACCCAAAGGAGUCAAACUUUAGUUGGUCAUUGAAGAGUGACAAUGAUUCUCUUGGCCAACUUGCUGAGAUUCGCCAAGGCCAAAGUUAUCUUCUAUUGGACACUGCGGUUACAAACUUUCGUACUUAUGUCUGUAUUGCUAAUAAUUCUAUUGGAUCAUCACUUCCGUGUGAACGUGGAGUACCCGCACGCCAAGGACGUGCAGGCAAUCUUCCAUGGUGGUUUCAAUUAGAGGGUGAUCUUUUAAUAAUUGUCAUUAUAAUAAUCGUCACUGUUGUUAUUGCCAUUGUCGUUUGCUGCGUCAUUGUUUAUUUGAUAUGUCGUCGUAAACAAAUGCACGCGAAAUACAGUAAUCGCAUGGUCACAUUGGAGGAACGUCAACAUCCGGACGGUGGUCCACCGAGCCCGACAGAGUCGAUACGUUCACAUGGACGAUGCUCAUCCCUUCACUCAAACCCAGUUCCACGAUGGCCUUUAAAACCAGGAGUUUUAGUGCACAUUAAUCGCACGCAUAGCCUCAGUUCAGGAUUAAAUCCAGUUCCGCUCUCAACUUCAAAUCAUCAUAUACACACAAUACCACCAACAUUACCAUCGACAACAACAAUAACAGCAGCAGUAGCAACAACAACAACAACAACAGAAACAAUUUCUGCAACAACAGCAGAAAUAACGUCGUCACCAACCACAACUAUGAAUACAAUGAUGACUACUAAUAAAAACUAUAAAGUCGAUCGAUAUCGUACGCGAGGAGAUGAAAUAAUAGUCACUAGACGACCGAUUAAACCAUUUAGACGCGGAAAAAUUAUGACUAUUACCCAAAUGGGUAUUCCUAUACAUAAUAUUGUUCAUGAUGAAGGCAUGAUUGCACGAGCUAAUAGGUUAAAAGCAAUAUUUAGUUCACAACUAAAGGAGCCUGAUUCAUUUCCCGGUAUAUCCAGAGAAAAAACAGCUGUGACUUAUAAAAGAAUAGUACCUCGGCAACGGAUGUCGUACAACACCCCAACACUUGCUGCAUCAAAUUGCGACACCUCCGCCGAUGGCACUGACUGCGGUGGUGGUGGUGAUGUUAACAUAAACGCAAAUUCCAAUGUAUCUCGUAAGCGCAAAAAGCCGGGAGCAGAUCCUGGCCAUCAAGGGAAUAAAAAUAGUCAUAUUGAUAGUGUUUCCGAAGGGUUGCAACCAGAAUCGGAUGGCAAAACUUUUUAUGAAAAUCUUCCAUUUCACGGAAUCCAAACCCCACCAAACAAGGACACCCAGCGAGCGAAGAGCGAUACGUAUAUUUACUAAAGAAUGUUUCCGGUUGGAGAAUAUCUAUAUUGUGUAGGAUCCAUGCAUAACACCAUCCCAGCAGCAGCAACCGGACGCUGCAGCCUUUUAAGCCUGAAUUCUCUGACUUGGAUUACGCAGAAGUUGACUACAGAUCUUAUGGACCUAUUAACUACAAGGCUGCCAGUAUUGCGCUGUUACAGAAUCGA
rnacentral:misc_RNA from 1 species